CGUGUAGGCUGCGAAGUGUGUCGGAUGUGAAAUCUCCGGGCCCAACCCGGAAAGUGCGUCCGAAACUGCUUCGCUGGAGGACGGAAUGGGGAAUCGGAAUGCAGGGUGUAGCGGUGAAAUGCGUUGAUAUCCUGCAGAACACCGGAGGCGAAGGCGGAUUCCUGGUACGUAUCUGACGCUGAGGCGCGAAAGUAGGGGGGGCAAACA
rnacentral:rRNA from 1 species